AAAGCCCAGCGUGAAGAUACAGUCACUUGUUGAAUACUUACCUGUCUGUACGAGCUAAAAGCUAUUGUCCUUGAAUACGCCCUGUAAAGCCCAGCGUGAAGAUACAGUCACUUGUUGAAUACUUACCUUGCUACAUCCUUACCGUUGUUACUUACCUGUGCCCUCAGGGAUUUGUGUGUCGCCUUAUACUUACCUAGGAGGUCAAUGGGAGUGGAGGAGCUGUCCAGACGCUGGAGAAGAGAAGGGCGCCACGGGAAAUCAAGCCGCUAAGGAAGGACUUAGGAUUAGUCAGGAGACUGGUAGAAGUUCUGGGAAAGGACGAAAGAGCCCUUUGCCCCCCCCCCUCCCCUUGUGAUUACUUA